GUGCUUGUGGUGUAGUGGUUAUCACAUCCGCCUAACACGCGGAAGGCCCAGGUUCGAUCCCUGGCAGGCACA
rnacentral:tRNA from 1 species